rnacentral:rRNA from 1 species
UAGGGAAUCUUCCGCAAUGGACGAAAGUCUGACGGAGCAACGCCGCGUGAGUGAAGAAGGAUUUCGGUUCGUAAAACUCUGUUGUUAGGGAAGAAAAAAUGUAUAGUAACUAUAUACAAAAGAGACGGUACCUAACCAGAAAGCCACGGCUAACUACGUGCCAGCAGCCGCGGUAAUACGUAGGUGGCAAGCGUUGUCCGGAAUUAUUGGGCGUAAAGCGCGCGCAGGUGGUUUAGAAAGUCUGAUGUGAAAGCCCACGGCUCAACCGUGGAGGGUCAUUGGAAACUAAUAAACUUGAGUGCAGAAGAGAAAAGUGGAAUUCCUAGUGUAGCGGUGAAAUGCGUAGAGAUUAGGAGGAACACCGGUGGCGAAAGCGGCUUUUUGGCCUGCAACUGACACUGAGGCGGGAAAGCGUGGGGAGCAAACAGG